AUGGUGGCAAACUACCAAAGGAUCAAAAGGAUCUUCUAUUGGCCUGGCCUCAAAAAGCAGGUGCACAAGUUCAUUACUGAGUGUGCUAUUUGCCAGAGAGCAAAGUCAGAACAUUGCCAAUAUCCUGGCCUACUGGAUCCCCUACCACUCCCAACCCAAGCAUGGACUGAUAUAACCAUGGACUUUGUGGAAGGGCUCCCUAAGUCUAAGGGAAAAGAGGUAAUUUUGGUGGUGGUGGAUAGAUAUACAAAGUACGCCCAUUUCAUUGCAUUAGCCCACCCUUACAAUGUGCAGACAGUGGCCCAAGCUUUCAUCGACAAUGUCUUCAAAUUGCAUGGACCACCAGUGUCUAUUGUAACUGACAGAGAUAGGAUCUUCACAAGCAACAUGUGGCAAGCAGUAUUCAAAUCUAUGGAUUUUCAACUCAAACUGAGCACUGCUCACCACCCACAAACAGAAGGUCAGUCCGAGCGAGUUAACCAUGCCUCGAGCCAUAUCUGA
rnacentral:rRNA from 1 species